rnacentral:rRNA from 1 species
ACGGGAGGCAGCAGUGGGGGAUAUUGCACAAUGGGGGAAACCCUGAUGCAGCGACGCCGCGUGAGUGAAGAAGUAUUUCGGUAUGUAAAGCUCUAUCAGCAGGAAAGAAAAUGACGGUACCUGACUAAGAAGCACCGGCUAACUACGUGCCAGCAGCCGCGGUAAUACGUAGGGGGCAAGCGUUAUCCGGAUUUACUGGGUGUAAAGGGUGCGUAGACGGGAGUGCAAGUUAGUUGUGAAAUCCCUCGGCUUAACUGAGGAACUGCAACUAAAACUGUACUUCUUGAGUAUCGGAGAGGAAAGCGGAAUUCCUAGUGUAGCGGUGAAAUGCGUAGAUAUUAGGAGGAACACCAGUGGCGAAGGCGGCUUUCUGGACGAAAACUGACGUUGAGGCACGAAAGUGUGGGGAGCAAACAGGAUUAGAUACCCUGGUA